rnacentral:rRNA from 1 species
AUUGAACGCUGGCGGCAGGCCUAACACAUGCAAGUCGAACGAGUGGCGGCCGGGUGAGUAAUGUCUGGGAAACUGCCCGAUGGAGGGGGAUAACUACUGGAAACGGUAGCUAAUACCGCAUACCAUCGGAUGUGCCCAGAUGGGAUUAGCUAGUAGGUGGGGUAACGGCUGACCUAGGCGACGAUCCCUAACUGGUCUGAGAGGAUGACCAGCGACGCUGGAAGUGAGAGAAGGUCCAGACUCGUAAGGGAGGCAGCAGUGGGGAAUAUUGCACAAUGGGCGAGAGCCUGAUGAAGCAAUGCCGCGUGUAUGAAGAAGGCCUGCGGGUUGUAAAGUACUGUAAGCGGGGAGGCGUUACGCGCAGAAGAAGCACCGGCUAACUACGUGUCAGACGCAGCGGUAAUAC